rnacentral:misc_RNA from 1 species
GAUUUAAGCCUUGUACAGUUUGAAUUAGUUGAACUAAUCGAUUCUUUCGGAUAGUCAAAUUAAUCUAGCCAAAUGCCAAGUGCUAUUGCCAACUUAUUUGAUUAGAAAUGUGAUUUGGGUUUUAGCCAAAAAUAUUUGUCUGGAUGCUGUUGUUAUUGUAGGCAUUUGAGCAAAUGGAACCAGAUAAAUAUAAAUAUCUGUCUUA